AGCUUCUGAAACGUUCUCUGGGGCGUAAAAUUUAUUUAAACACAAGCUUUCGACUGGCAGUCUAGUGUUCGACACUUUACUUGUCGAAGACUGCAACUGGCAAUCGAAAGCUCGUGUUUAAAUAAAUUUUACGAUCAGAGAACGUUUCAGAAACU